rnacentral:rRNA from 1 species
GAUGAACGCUAGCUACAGGCUUAACACAUGCAAGUCGAGGGGCAGCAUGGUCUUAGCUUGCUAAGGCCGAUGGCGACCGGCGCACGGGUGAGUAACACGUAUCCAACCUGCCGUCUACUCUUGGACAGCCUUCUGAAAGGAAGAUUAAUACAAGAUGGCAUCAUGAGUCCGCAUGUUCACAUGAUUAAAGGUAUUCCGGUAGACGAUGGGGAUGCGUUCCAUUAGAUAGUAGGCGGGGUAACGGCCCACCUAGUCUUCGAUGGAUAGGGGUUCUGAGAGGAAGGUCCCCCACAUUGGAACUGAGACACGGUCCAAACUCCUACGGGAGGCAGCAGUGAGGAAUAUUGGUCAAUGGGCGAGAGCCUGAACCAGCCAAGUAGCGUGAAGGAUGACUGCCCUAUGGGUUGUAAACUUCUUUUAUAAAGGAAUAAAGUCGGGUAUGGAUACCCGUUUGCAUGUACUUUAUGAAUAAGGAUCGGCUAACUCCGUGCCAGCAGCCGCGGUAAUACGGAGGAUCCGAGCGUUAUCCGGAUUUAUUGGGUUUAAAGGGAGCGUAGAUGGAUGUUUAAGUCAGUUGUGAAAGUUUGCGGCUCAACCGUAAAAUUGCAGUUGGUACUGGAUAUCUUGAGUGCAGUUGAGGCAGGCGGAAUUCGUGGUGUAGCGGUGAAAUGCUUAGAUAUCACGAAGAACUCCGAUUGCGAAGGCAGCCUGCUAAGCUGCAACUGACAUUGAGGCUCGAAAGUGUGGGUAUCAAACAGG